GAUGAACGCUAGCGACAGGCUUAACACAUGCAAGUCGAGGGGCAGCACGGGAGUAGCAAUACAACUGGUGGCGACCGGCGCACGGGUGAGUAACGCGUAUGCAACCUACCUAUCAGAGGGGAAUAACCCGGCGAAAGUCGGACUAAUACCGCAUAAAACAGGGGCACCGCAUGGUGAUAUUUGUUAAAGAAAUUCGCUGAUAGAUGGGCAUGCGUUCCAUUAGGUAGUUGGUGAGGUAACGGCUCACCAAGCCGACGAUGGAUAGGGGAACUGAGAGGUUGGUCCCCCACACUGGUACUGAGACACGGACCAGACUCCUACGGGAGGCAGCAGUGAGGAAUAUUGGUCAAUGGGCGAGAGCCUGAACCAGCCAAGUCGCGUGAAGGAAGAAGGAUCUAUGGUUCGUAAACUUCUUUUGCAGGGGAAUAAAGUGCAGGACGUGUCCUGUUUUGUAUGUACCCUGAGAAUAAGGAUCGGCUAACUCCGUGCCAGCAGCCGCGGUAA
rnacentral:rRNA from 1 species